UACGUAGGGGGCAAGCGUUGUCCGGAAUCAUUGGGCGUAAAGAGCGUGUAGGCGGCCAGAAAAGUCCGCUGUGAAAACUCGAGGCUCAACUUCGAGCUGUCGGUGGAAACUUUCUGGCUAGAGUCCGGAAGAGGAGAAUGGAAUUCCUGGUGUGGCGGUGAAAUGCGCAGAUAUCAGGAAGAACACCCGUGGCGAGGGCGGUUCUCUGGGACGGUACUGACGCUGAGACGCGAAAGCGUGGGGAGCGAACAGG
rnacentral:rRNA from 1 species